GAGCAGGCCAGCCUUCUAGGGAAUGGACAGAGAGGCAAGAGCAGGGUUCUCUGGGCGUUGGCCAGGCAAAGAAGAGCCAGAGAACCAGAGUGGCCCCGCCAGGCCUUCCUCUGUCCAGCUCUCCUGUGCACUCCUCCUCUCCCUUCCUUCCCUCUUCUGCCUGACUUCCUCUUCUGGCACUGUCCUUCCUUGUUUCUGUUUCCCCUCUCUCCCUCUUGUCUUUACCUCCUUGGGUUUAUUUUAUUUUAUUUUAAGCUCUAGGAUACAUGUGCAGAAUGUGCAGGCUUGUUACAUAGGUAAAUGUGUGCCAAGGUGGUUUGCUGCACCUAUCAACCCGUCACCUAGGUAUUAAGCCCCACAUGCAUUAGCUAUUUGUCCUGAUGCUCUCCCUCCCCUCACCCCCACAACACGCCCUGGUGUGUGUUGUUCCCCUCCCUGUAUCCAUGUGCUUUCAUUGUUUAGCUCCCACUUAUGAGUGAGAACAUGCAGUGUUUGGUUUUCUGUUCCUGUGUUAUUUUGCUGAGGACGAUGGUUUCCAGUUCUAUCCGUGUCUCUGCAAAGGACAUGAUCUCAUUCCUUUUUACGGUUGCAUAGUAUUCCAUGCUGUAUAUGUACCACAUUUUCUUUAUCCAGUCUAUCACUGAUGGUCAUUUGGAUUGGUUCCAUGUCUUUGCUAUUGUGAAUAGUGCUGCAAUAAACAUACGUGUGUAUGUGUCUUUAUAAAAGAAUGAUUUCUAUUCCUUU
rnacentral:lncRNA from 10 species